AUUGAACGCUGGCGGCAGGCCUAACACAUGCAAGUCGAACGAGUGGCGGACUGGUGAGUAAUUUCUGGGAAACUGCCUGAUGGAGGGGGCUAACUACUGGAAACGGUAGCUAAUACCGCAUACCAUCAGAUGUGCCCAGAUGGGAUUAGCUUGUUGGUGUGGUAACGGUUCACAAAGGCGACGAUCCCUAGCUGGUCUGAGAGGAUGAUCGGCCACACGGGGAUGGAGACACGGUCCAGACUCCUACGGGAGGCAGCAGUGGGGAAUAUUGGGCAAUGGGCGCAAGCCUGAUGCAGCCAUGCCGCGUGUAUGAAGAAGGCCUUCGGGUUGUAAAGUACUUUCAGCGGGGAGGCGGUACCCACAGAAGAAGCACCGGCUAACUCCGUGCCAGCAGCCGCGGUAAUUC
rnacentral:rRNA from 1 species